UACAUGGGGUGCAAACGUUGCUCGGAAUUAUUGGGCGUAAAGAGCUCGUAGGCGGUCUGUCGCGUCUGGUGUGAAAUCCCAUGGCUCAACUGUGGGCUUGCAUCGGGUACGGGCAGACUAGAGUGCUGUAGGGGAGACUGGAAUUCCUGGUGUAGCGGUGGAAUGCGCAGAUAUCAGGAGGAACACCGAUGGCGAAGGCAGGUCUCUGGGCAGUUACUGACGCUGAGGAGCGAAAGCAUGGGGAGCGAACAGG
rnacentral:rRNA from 1 species